rnacentral:rRNA from 1 species
CAAGUCGAACGAUCCUUCGGGAUAGUGGCGGACGGGUGAGUAACACGUGGGAACGUGCCUUUUGGUUCGGAACAACUCAGGGAAACUUGAGCUAAUACCGAAUGUGCCCUUCGGGGGAAAGAUUUAUCGCCAUUAGAGCGGCCCGCGUCUGAUUAGCUAGUUGGUGGGGUAAAGGCUCACCAAGGCGACAAUCAAUAGCUGAUUUGAGAGGAUGAUCAGCCACACUGGGACUGAGAUACGGCCCAGACUCC